UUACUAUUACGCUGCACAAAUUUCUUCAAUGAUGUAUAAUAACUAAGUAGUAGGCGUUAUCAUGAAGCCUUCGACCAUGAAUAUUCAGAGUAAAAGCUAAAAUUUCUGAACGCAACGGCCACGUUCCCGCGAACAGAACUGUCAACUCCAUUGUGUUUAUUCAUGUAAGCCGACGACCAUUAGGGCAUAAUAAAAUAAAACGUUUUUAACUGAAAAUAACAGUAAACAUUUUAUAAGAAUGCGAAAAAAUAAAGAAAAUAGUGUUAACAGUGACGAAUUGCAAAAUUGGAGGGAAAAAACCAGAAGAUCGGAGAAGAAAAUGCAACUUUCGCGAUCAAGGUCAAUUGCGGCGUCCUUUCGUCGAUAGCAUAGCUACACGGACAUGAUAAAUAUCAAGAUAAAAAUGUAGCAGACCAUGGAUGUACCUACAUUAAUAGUGCCAGCGAACGAAUGUUUAAUGCAUACAUAACUAAAAUUCCGAAAAGGAACAUAAACGUCGGCAAGUGAAGAAUGAAGCGAGUUAAUUUUGACUUUGUUGGAAGGAGGCACCGCGCCAGAAGGUUGAAUAUGGGAAUAAUCCUUCUAGGACAAUCUUGUUGUUUGCUUGCAGAUAUAUAAUUACGAACAUUACAAAACAACAAUGACCCGGACAAGAUUAAAAAAAAAAAAAAAAAAACUCUGCCUUGUUAAAUUACUGGUGCUCUGAAGAUGAACCCAGAGACUCAAGCUGUGGCUGGUGAGACGUUUGUCAGUUGGGAACAAGGCUAGGUAUCGAAAUGAAACAAAUUAAGUUUCCUGUGACCUGUUCCCUCACUGUGAUGAUUUAGCACUCAAUAAAUUGUCUGCUGUAACCAGCUAUGAAAAGUUUCAGUAGUGUCCUUGCCUGGUUACCCCGGUGUUAUCCGGGAAGUUCCAUCACUGAAGCAGCGGAAAAGAGGAGAAGGAGAAAGGAGGAACUUUCCAUUGGUGCGGCCAACAGCAUGGUGGGGUAGAGUCUCUUAUGCCCA